GUGGGGAAUCUUGCGCAAUGGGCGAAAGCCUGACGCAGCCAUGCCGCGUGAAUGAUGAAGGUCUUAGGAUUGUAAAAUUCUUUCACCGGGGACGAUAAUGACGGUACCCGGAGAAGAAGCUCCGGCUAACUUCGUGCCAGCAGCCGCGGUAAUACGAAGGGGGCUAGCGUUGCUCGGAAUUACUGGGCGUCAAGGGCGCGUAGGCGGACAGCUUAGUCAGAGGUGAAAGCCCAGGGCUCAACCUUGGAAUUGCCUUUGAUACUGGCUGUCUUGAGUUUGGGAGAGGUGAGUGGAACUCCGAGUGUAGAGGUGAAAUUCGUAGAUAUUCGGAAGAACACCAGUGGCGAAGGCGACUCACUGGCCCAAUACUGACGCUGAGGCGCGAAAGCGUGGGGAGCAAACAGGAUUAGAAACCCCAGUAGUCC
rnacentral:rRNA from 1 species